rnacentral:rRNA from 1 species
UACAGAGGAGCCAAGCGUUGUCCGGAUUGACUGGGCGUAAAGCGCACGCAGGCGGACGCGCGCGUGGGGUGUGAAAUCUGGCCGCUUAACGGCCAGGCGCCAUCCCAUACGGCGCGUCUGGAGUGAUGCAGAGGUCGGUGGAAUUGCCGGUGUAGUGGUGAAAUGCGUAGAUAUCGGAAGGAACACCAGUGGCGAAAGCGGCCCCCUGGAUUCAUACUGACGCUGAGGCGCGAAAGCGUGGGGAGCAAACAGG